GGACGCCUUUCCCCUCGUCAUGCAGCAGGUUACUGUAGCAGUUCUCCAUCGGCGCACUCACAAGAGUCUGAGCCUGAAACACAACAGGUCAGUUAGAGCUGCAACAAAUCAAUCAGCAAUCAAUUAUUCUGAUAAACAACCAGGAUGAGGACGCUCUCUCCCACAGUGUCGAUCCCUGCUCGCCCGGCCCGCCCCACCAUCUGUUUGUACUGACUCCUCUUCAGGAAGUCUGUGGCCACGUACGGAGACCGCAGGAUGACUCUGGAGAGAGGACAUCAGGCCCAGAGACGGGUUACACUCGUCCUCUCAUGAGGUAAGUUGAUCCCUGCGGCGAGGGUGGAUGUACAGGUGAGGAGACAGAGGACCCCGUUGGAGUAGGCCUCCUCCACCAGCUUCCUCUCCUCCGUGGUCAGUCCGCUGUGGUGAUAGGCCAGACCGUACGGCACCG